rnacentral:rRNA from 1 species
GCUUUACACAUGCAAGUCGAACGGGCAGCAUAGAGAGCUUGCUCUCUGAUGGCGAGUGGCGAACGGGUGAGUAAUAUAUCGGAACGUGCCCAGUAAUGGGGAAUAACUAGCCGAAAGGUUAGCUAAUACCGCAUACGACCUACGGGUGAAAGCAGGGGAUCUUAGGACCUUGCGUUAUUGGAGCGGCCGAUAUCUGAUUAGCUUGUUGGUGGGGUAAAAGCCUACCAAGGCAACGAUCAGUAGCUGGUCUGAGAGGACGAUCAGCCACACUGGAACUGAGACACGGUCCAGACUCCUACGGGAGGCAGCAGUGGGGAAUUUUGGACAAUGGGGGAAACCCUGAUCCAGCCAUCCCGCGUGAGUGAAGAAGGCCUUCGGGUUGUAAAGCUCUUUCGAAAGUGAAGAAAACUUAUUUCAUAAUAUGUUAUGAGUAUGACGGUAACUUUAGAAGAAGCACCGGCUAACUACGUGCCAGCAGCCGCGGUAAUACGUAGGGUGCGAGCGUUAAUCGGAAUUACUGGGCGUAAAGCGUGCGCAGGCGGUUUUGUAAGUCAGAUGUGAAAUCCCCGAGCUUAACUUGGGAACUGCGUUUGAAACUACAAGACUAGAGUGUGUCAGAGGGGGGUAGAAUUCCACGUGUAGCAGUGAAAUGCGUAGAGAUGUGGAGGAAUACCAAUGGCGAAGGCAGCCCCUGGGAUAACACUGA